UACGGGGGGGGCAAGCGUUGUUCGGAAUUACUGGGCGUAAAGCGCGCGUAGGCGGCUUUUCAAGUCAGGCGUGAAAUCCUUAGGCUUAACCUAAGAAUUCGCUUGAUACUGUUGAGCUAGAGUGUGGAAGGGGCUACUAGAAUUCGUGUGUAGCGGUGAAAUGCGUAGAUAUACGGAGGAACACCAGCGGCGAAGGCGGGUAGCUGGGCCAACACUGACGCUGAUGUGCGAAAGCUAGGGUAGCAAACGGG
rnacentral:rRNA from 1 species